rnacentral:rRNA from 1 species
UACGUAGGGUGCGAGCGUUAAUCGGAAUUACUGGGCGUAAAGCGUGCGUAGGCGGUUCGUUAAGUGCGUCGUGAAAGCCCCCGGGCUCAACCUGGGAAUGGCGAUGGAAACUGGCGGGCUGGAGUAUGGCAGAGGGGGGUGGAAUUCCGCGUGUAGCAGUGAAAUGCGUAGAGAUGUGGAGGAACACCUGUGGCGAAGGCGCCUUGCUGGCCGAUUUCUGACGCUGAGGCGCGAAAGCGUGGGGAGCAAACAGG